rnacentral:rRNA from 1 species
UACGAAGGGGGCUAGCGUUGCUCGGAAUCACUGGGCGUAAAGGGUGCGUAGGCGGGUCUUUAAGUCAGGGGUGAAAUCCUGGAGCUCAACUCCAGAACUGCCUUUGAUACUGGCGAUCUCGAGUCCGGGAGAGGUGAGUGGAACUGCGAGUGUAGAGGUGAAAUUCGUAGAUAUUCGCAAGAACACCAGUGGCGAAGGCGGCUCACUGGCCCGGUACCGACGCUGAGGCACGAAAGCGUGGGGAGCAAACAGG